AGGGUUCCUUGUGGGCACUGAGGAGGGAGAGCCGAGGGCUGGGCAGGAGUCUGGGAAGGAGCGGGUGGGGUCCACUUUCCCCAGGUGCGCUGGACUCUGUCCCUCCAUGGCUCAUGGACAAUGAUUGACCUGAAGCCGCUCCAGGAAGUCUACUCGGGAGUCCUCACUGCCUGCUCCCCUAUGGCCCUAAGGGACUCAAGCCUCUCCUCGAGAAGGUCCCUCAUAGGGGUUCCUUCCCCUUCAGACCAGAAGACCAGGGGGGCCUCCGCAGAAGCGGUCGCCAUAGUCAAACCUGUCAGAGGAAAACAGGAGCUUGUGGGACCUGGACCCAGCCACCAAGAGCCCACCCCGAAGACCCUGUGGAUCCUGCUCCCUGAGAGGGACCCGACACCCAACCUAUCUUCUCCAGAUGGGAUCUGAGCCCCUUGUAUGUUCUAUGGACUUUCAGCAUCAGCAUUGCCUGGGGACUUUUUAGAAAUGCAGAAUCCUGGGCCCCAUCCCAAGCCUACUGAUUCAAAAUCUCUCUGGGAGGCACAGGACUGUUUCCCCAAGUCCUCCAGGAAAUACUUAUGUACACUGAAAUCUGAGAAGCUCUGCACUACUCCAUGCCUGGACACCAGGUACAUGCCAGCCUUCAGGUCCCAGGUUUGCUGCAUCUCCCACCCCCUGGCAGAGCCCCUAGAGACCCCUAGAGUCUCACCCUAGCUCCUCCCCAGUCCGGAUGUCUCGGGAACUGAAGAAGGCGAUGCGUGGAAAUCGCAGGUCUUGGUGCAGCAUGAAGACCCGGACGGGAAUGAUGUUGGGGUCACACAGCCUCAGCAUCAGAGAUCAGCUCCCCGACAUACCUGUGGGACAGGAAUCCAUGGUUCUGAAGGAGCCACCCGGCAGGAAUGGGCGAUAUGGAACAGGAGAGGGGCCAGGACUGCAGGAAGAGCCAGAGGUACAGGAGUGGCAAGGAACUCAAGGCAUGAUUCGGGGCAAGAGCACCCACACAUAUCUGGACACCAGAGGGAGGAGAGGAGCCAGCUAUCUAAGGAGGGUGUUAAGGUGCUCCCGGUGACUUACUCGCAGAUGAAGGUCCCCUGUGGGAUGGUCUGCAGGGCGCGGACCCCCCAGCCCAUCUUGGCUGUUCGGUAGAGCUGUAGCCGCACCCUGGGGGUAGGAGAGAUGGCGCUGUUGGGUGGAGGCCCUGGAAAAGCCCCAGGGGCAGGGAGGAAAGGGUGAGGUGGGGAGAGGGUGGGCUGUGGAGCAGGGCCUCACUUGAUGCCACUCUGUACGACCCGGUUCUUGCAGUUUCUCCAGCAUGAGCACGCCUGGUUACACUCGAAAAUCAGCGGAGGCUCAAUCUUGUUAAAUUCCUGGAGCAAUCGCCCAUCCUAGGGUGCGGAGGGGAGGAUAGUGGUUUCUCUGUGGGGCCCACCUCAGCUGCCCACCCAGGAACCCCAAGACUCUACAGAGACAGGGAAGUUGGGGUUGGGGAGGUCACACAGGCUCUGAGAUCCGAGAGCACGAAAUGCAGGAGCAUCAUCCCUGGUUUGCAUAGACCUGGGCACACGCCCAUCGCUGUCCCAGCCACAUCCCAGGAUUCCCAGGCCUUGCCCAGUCCUCUCAGUCACUUCCCCCACAGGGUAGGAGGUGAGGGACAUGGUCCCAGGGAGCUGGUUUAUUGGAGGCUGGCUCCUCUGAAGGAGGGGCCGGGUGUCUGUGGCCAAGGCAAGGGGCACGCACCUUGUCAUACCAGCACCGGAUGCUGAGCUGGCCGCACAGGCAGUUGGAGCUAGAGCAGUCGUCCACACACGUGCAGUGCUGGGGCGAGGAGGCAGAGGUCAGCUCAACCCCAUGAUCGGUCUGGGCCCCUCUACUCUUGAUGCCCCCUGACCCCCUAACCACUGUCCUUUCUUUGGGGUCCAUGUGUUACAACAGUGGGUGGUGAUGGUCCUAGGGUGACGGGUAAUCAGUAUGGUGGUGUCCCCAGGGCUACUGGGAGCUCAUAUGAUACCUUGCUGUGACCUAGGAAAAGGAUCCCUCCCCUGGUGGGGAUGCGACCCCACACCAGGGCUCCCUUUCAGCCAACCCUUCCUUGGCCAGGUGCCUUUGCUGGUUUGAAGCUUGUCCAACUGUACUUGGCAGCUCUCGGUGUCCUUUUGGGGAGGCCCCGGGCCCCCUACUCACCUGCAGGUGGGUGAUGUUGCGAUCGAUGUUCAUGGUGGACGUCUCGCAGUUCUCUGAGAUGUACUUGUAAUCCUCAGGGCAGGGCUCCCCAUCCACACCGUUGACACAGGGAAUGGGCACGUUCUCAUAGCCCCGAGCCACGUCCCUGCAGAAGACGGGAAGAAGGGGCUGGGAAGCUGGAAAAGGGGGUGAGGAGCUACUCCAGGUAUAAGGAAGAGAGUUGGGGAGGUUCCUGGGGCUGGGGGCAGGGGAGUAAGGUUGCCAGGUAAGAUGCAGGACAGCGAGUUAACAUAGAAUUUUAGAUAAACAAGAAAUAGCUUUUUAGUAUGUCCCAAAAAUUACACAGGACAUUCUCACACUAAAAAAGUAUGCAUCUGUGCAUCUGAAAUUCCAGUUUAA
ensembl:lncRNA EHMT2-AS1 EHMT2 and SLC44A4 antisense RNA 1